GGAAUUGACGGGUCCCCGCACAAGCAGCGGAGCGUGUGGUUUAAUUCGAUGCUACACGAAGAACCUUACCUGGGUUUGACAUAGAGGUAGUAGGGAAGCGAAAGCGGACCGACCCUUCGGGAGCCUCUACAGGUGUUGCAUGGCUGUCGUCAGCUCGUGUCGUGAGAUGUUCGGUUAAGUCCGCUAACGAGCGCAACCCUCGCUGUGUGUUACAAGUGUCACACGGUACUGCCGAUAUUAAGUCGGAGGAAGGUGAGGAUGAUGUCAAGUCAGCAUGACCUUUAUAUCUAGGGCUACACACACGCUACAAUGGUCUGUACAAUGGGUUGCCAAGCCGCGAGGCGGAGCCAAUCCUAAAAAGCAGGCCUCAGUUCAGAUUGCAGUCUGCAACCCGACUGCAUGAAGCCGGAGUUGCUAGUAACCGCAGGUCAGCAAUACUGCGGUGAAUACGUUCCCGGGUCUU
rnacentral:rRNA from 1 species